GACGAACGCUGGCGGCGUGCUUAACACAUGCAAGUCGAACGGAGUACCCUUGAAUGAGGCUUCGGCCAAUUUCUUGGACUACUUAGUGGCGGACGGGUGAGUAACACGUGAGUAACCUGCCCUUGAGUGGGGAAUAACACACCGAAAGGUGUGCUAAUACCGCAUAACAUAACAGAAUCGCAUGAUAUUGUUAUCAAAGAUUUAUUGCUCAAGGAUGGGCUCGCGGCCGAUUAGGUAGUUGGUGAGGUAACGGCUCACCAAGCCGACGAUCGGUAGCCGGACUGAGAGGUUGAACGGCCACAUUGGGACUGAGACACGGCCCAGACUCCUACGGGAGGCAGCAGUGGGGAAUAUUGCACAAUGGGGGAAACCCUGAUGCAGCGACGCCGCGUGAAGGAUGAAGGUCUUCGGAUUGUAAAGCUCUGUCUUCAGGGACGAUAACGACGGUACCUGAGGAGGAAGCCACGG
rnacentral:rRNA from 1 species